rnacentral:rRNA from 1 species
GAUCUUUAUAUAUUGAUAAUUUUUAUAAAAAUUAGUUAAUUUAUUUUUAAAAAUAAUAUUAUAUUAUAUUGGGGUAAUAAUAAAAUUUUAUAAAUUUUUAUUUAUUAAAUUCAAAAUUAAUUGAUUUUUUUUGAUCCAGUAUUAUUGAUUAUAAAAUUAAGUUACCUUAGGGAUAACAGCAUAAUGAUUUUUGAGAGUUCUUAUCAA